rnacentral:pre_miRNA from 1 species
UAACCUCUGCGGGCUGGCCUGCCCCCAGGCUGGGCUGGAUGGGUAACUCUUUGAAAGGCUCACCCUCAAGCACGAUUGGGAGC